CCUACGGGAGGCAGCAGUGAGGAAUAUUGGUCAAUGGGCGCGAGCCUGAACCAGCCAAGUCGCGUGAGGGAAGACGGUCCUAUGGAUUGUAAACCUCUUUUGUCGGGGAGCAAAAGACGCCACGCGUGGCGUUCCGCGAGUACCAGAAGAAAAAGCAUCGGCUAACUCCGUGCCAGCAGCCGCGGUAAUACGGAGGAUGCGAGCGUUAUCCGGAUUUAUUGGGUUUAAAGGGUGCGCAGGCGGAAGAUCAAGUCAGCGGUAAAAUUGAGAGGCUCAACCUCUUCGAGCCGUUGAAACUGGUUUUCUUGAGUACGCUAGAAGUAUGCGGAAUUCGUGGUGUAGCGGUGAAAUGCAUAGAUAUCACGCAGAACUCCGAUUGCGAAGGCAGCAUACCGGCGCUCAACUGACGCUCAUGCACGAAAGUGUGGGUAUCGAACAGGAUUAGAUACCCCAGUAGUC
rnacentral:rRNA from 1 species